rnacentral:lncRNA from 1 species
UUUGCAUUUUCCAUACUGUCACAACUUUGUUCUGAUUUGUGGCUGUAAAUGUGUAGAUGUGUAUUACUCUGUGUCUUAGUCCUCCGUUUUCCAGAGUUUGUUUUUCUAUCCUUUUCUUCACGCAGAUGUUUGAGCAGCACCUGAGGAUGGAGGGAGCGAGGGAGAGGGGGAAAGAGGGGGAAGAAAGAGAGAAAGAGAGACAGGCACUUAAGCAGCUUUGGGAUAAAGGGAAGAGCCAAUACAGUGCUGUAGCCAGUCCUUGGGUAAAACAGAAGCUGCGUCAGUUGAUCAAACAGAAGAACGAACAAGCGGAGUCCAACUUCAGCAGCAUCCCCACAGGCUUCAGACUCGGAGCCCCUCAUCAAGCUGAAGCUUAG